rnacentral:misc_RNA from 1 species
CUGAAGUGAGUCUUCAUCAUUUGAAGCUUCUUCCCAUUGUGCUGGCUUUGACCGUAUUGUAAUGUUGGGGAUUAAACAUGGUUGAUUUAUUUCGGCCGUCCCCAACAAUUUAUCUUAUCCUUUAUUAAAUUGAACUGAACUCAUUUUGAGAUUACAUAAAAAAAUAA